rnacentral:misc_RNA from 1 species
CAACAGGGGGCUUCGCCCUUGCACACGGCAGCUACCCAUUAUUCAGGGGGCUCGCGCCACUCUUGUAGCAUUUUUGUCUUCCUCGACAGCGGAGUGUUGGCCGACGUGCGUUGUAGCGUGUGCACGUAGGGGUGGCACAAAUAGCACCCGAAUGCGCGUCUAACGUGCUCAAAUGAAUCUCCUCCAUAGCAUUGUGAAAGUGACCUUCGGCCCGGUCACCGCCGCGGAGGAGGACCCGGCCAGAUCACCUUUCGCGCCGUCAGAGAAGAUGAAGGUUGUGUCACGCCAACUCCUAACUUUCCGCCUCACUGUCACGUACGACAACAUGGCAAAGGAUGCGUCGAAGGAGCAGGCGACAAAAAGAUUUCUCUCCAUGGUUGGUAUCCACUCGCUAGAGGCAGCCUGGUCGCACCUGUUCGGCGCCGUGCAGGUGGUGCCGUUCCUCCUUUACAAGACCGAUUCAUCGACGAGGUUAGAAAGCGAAAAGGCGUCUUCUCCGGAGCAGGCGAGCUCGCCGCCAAUGCCGUCGUCGGCCUCGGAGGAGUGGACAAGGUGUACCGGCAGCGUGUUUGUCUGCGGGACACCACGCUUUUGGUCUAGUCACCGCUACAGGUGGUCUUCGAGCGACGCGGCAGCGAAGAAGAGCGGCUCAACGCCGUUGCACGGAUCGACCAUGACGGAGUUGUCCAUGCCCGCUUCCUUGUUCCUCUCGACGGCGUUGCACUCGCUGCCAAUGACCACGGUGACUGCAUCGCCAUCACUUGCGAACAACAGCCGCAGCGCGAGUGGGGGCCACGGUGAUGCGUACUGGCGCUCCAGCGCUGGCGUCCGCUGCGAGGUGAUUGGGAGUGUGUCGACAGUGGCGGCGGACGAGGGGUCGCCGCGGCGGCUGCCGGCGGAGGCGAGCACCGCUGGCGAAGGCGUGGCGGUCGGCUUCACUGGCGGUGCUCUCCCGCACUUUUUGGAAAGCAGGUACACAAUUGAGCUAGCGCUUCCCGACUUUGAGGUGGCGUCCCUGCAUGGGGUGGACACCGCGCUGGCGAUGGUGGUGCUGCUGCCGUUGUGUGCGGCUGAUGGCGGUGGUGCAGCCACGGCGUCCGCGGAGGCUGGUGACCAGCCGUUCAUUUUGAGGUCGGUGCUGGCGCGUAGUGUGGGCCAGACGCAGGUAGAGGCGGCGGCGGCAUCGGCGCUGGUGCUAGGGAGUGGUGUGAUACCGGUGCAGUUAAUGGAGCCGUUUCUGUGUGUCUCCUCAACGUCGCCACUGAGCAACGACCGCCUUGUGCUGAAUUUGUCCCUGACAAACGUGACUUCCAGCGUGGCGCAGCUGUACAGUACCUCCUUCGACCUGCACUCGUCGUGCGUGCUGCUUGAUGCCGCUAUGACGGGCUAUGACUUUGCUGGUGAAGAGCACGGUGAGCCUCACAUCACGGCGAGCUCGCUAUGGGGUGAGAUGCGGCCGGGUGCGAAUCUGUCGAGCAUGCGCACCAUCGACCUUCUCACAAAGCUUGUGACGAUAACGCCGGUUGUGGUGGGCGAGGAGCGGCCGCCGGUGGAGCUUUACCCUGGCGAGACGUACACCUUCGAGUUUGUGAUCGAGGUGCUGCCACAGCUGUGCUACCUGUUGAAUUCGCAGUCGCUCGAGUACCUGUACGAGCGCCACUAUGCGAUGCCGCACGGCGUUGUGGGUGGGCGUGGCAGUGACGGUUCACCGAGCCGCAAAAGAGACGAGGGCUGGCCUCGUGGAGGUGGUGGCGGCAGCAGCAGCGCGGCAGCCACGUUCGGCCACGGGCCUGUCGUCACGGACUGCUACGAUCAGACGGUCUCUGCUGCGGAGCUGCGUCGCAUUUUAUCGCACUCGUACGUGUCGCACCUGUUUGUGUACUACAACCUCGCUGCUGGCGACGCGGCUGGCAACAGCAGUUCGACCAGGCUGUCGCCGCGCGUGUCCGGCUUGGCACACAGCUCUGGACUAUGCCUGCGCUACCCGGCACGGUGGUCUUUUGCUGCCUGAGGGUGAGCGAUCAAGAGACAUGCGACUAGUUGAAAGGAACUGCUUCUUCAACCGUGCGACGAGGGGAGAGAGCGUGUGCAGCAGACACGUACAUGUGUCUGUGCUUCUUACACUAUGCACAUGCUUGCAUGGCGAAGGGCGCUGGAGCUCUUGCGCUCUCCUUCCUCCCCCUCCCCCCAUUAGCGAAUGG